rnacentral:lncRNA from 1 species
AUUGUAUUAUGCAUUUUACUCAUUGCUACAUUCUCUUCCUCCUGCCAAUAACAGGGUAGAACAGGCCAGACACAUCCAAGUGUGAUGAGCAUGGACUUCCUGCCAACAGCUUACCUUCAGGGCAGCGGGAUGAUCCCCAAACUGAUCCGUCUACGACUCCUUGAGAGACAGCGUUCAGCAGAGACAUUGGAGAUCCUCCGGUGUGCCCUAAUUUAAAGCUGCCUGGGAAAUAACAGAGGCUCACACAAAUGAGGAGAAUGAGUUCAGCAGACGAGACACAGACAGGUACACACACACACACACAUGCACUCACUCAUGUAUGAAUACCACUCGUGUAUGAUUGCACAAUUGCGGUUAUUAUGUUCUCAUUUUCUUCCUCUGUCUCUCCCUCACAGGUUUAAUCUGUGUGGAUAUUAACCCAGGCAUUUUCAAUAAAUGUAUAAUUACUGAUUCA